UAAUAAAUACGAGAGGAAUGAUGGAUGAACAAUGGAUAACUAACCUAAUUUUUUACAUUUGAAAUUUCAUAAUUUCAAGUCUUAAAAACUUAGGAUUAGUCUGCCCAUUUUUCAACCACCCCUACAAGCGCUCUGCUUAUAGGCUUCUUUAUGCGGGACAAUAAUGCGGACUCGACUAAUCCUUCCAAUGAAAUUGGGAGGAUUUUUUU
rnacentral:sRNA from 1 species